rnacentral:rRNA from 1 species
AUUGAACGCUGGCGGCAGGCCUAACACAUGCAAGUCGAACGGUAACAGGAAGCAGCUUGCUGCUUCGCUGACGAGUGGCGGACGGGUGAGUAAUGUCUGGGAAACUGCCUGAUGGAGGGGGAUAACUACUGGAAACGGUAGCUAAUACCGCAUAACGUCGCAAGACCAAAGAGGGGGACCUUAGGGCCUCUUGCCAUCGGAUGUGCCCUGAUGGGAUUAGCUAGUAGGUGGGGUAACGGCUCACCUAGGCGACGAUCCCUAGCUGGUCUGAGAGGAUGACCAGCCACACUGGAACUGAGACACGGUCCAGACUCCUACGGGAGGCAGCAGUGGGGAAUAUUGCACAAUGGGCGCAAGCCUGAUGCAGCCAUGCCGCGUGUAUGAAGAAGGCCUUCGGGUUGCAAAGUACUUUCAGCGGGGAGGAAGGGAGUAAAGUUAAUACCUUUGCUCAUUGACGUUACCCGCAGAAGAAGCACCGGCUAACUCCGUG